GAGGAGAGAGUUAACGUGGACAGGCCCUGCUGAGCUCUCUGUGGCUGAAGCCAGUCCUGAGGCCACCAGGGUUGCCUCUCCAAAAGCCUCUGCAAUGGUUAAUAUAGGUGCAAGACUGAUAGAGUCUACAAUCAGCAAGGAGUCAAGCCUCCGGUCACGCCUGUGAGGGAUCUUCUAGAUCCGUGUGGCUGAGCUGGAAGACCCCCCUAACCGAUGGACUGAAUGAAAAGGAGAAAGCUAUCAGCAGUGAUUACGUUGAUGGACACUAUGUAGCCAGUGGCCUCAAGAGUCUGCUCUCAGGAUUUCCCCACCACAGCGGACUGGAGCCCCAAACUGUGGGCUAGAAUAAACUUUCCUUCCUGAGAUGGGAUGGCCUCAUCUGAGAUGGUGUUUGUCCGGCAACGUGUCAAAAAUGAAAGUCUCUCAGUACCUUGUGCUCUGGCUCCCUCCUCUGCCAGCUGUUGAGGUUUCUGUGGGCACCAGGAGAUGAGAGGCAGGCCCACCUCCUGUGUCACCUGAGCCUACAGGGGCUGGUUCCACAGUUAGCCUGCUUUAUGCCACCAAGCCAACGGGCACCACGGGGCACAGGGUUGCCAAUCCACCUCCAACAGCCCCUGCUCCCAAGAGCAUCCGUUGAGGUGCUGGCUGCCUGUGCAAAGGCUUUCUACCAAAGUGUCACCAGGAUGAGCUAGAACCUUCUCGGUUCCAGGGAAUCUGACACCACCUUCUAGCCGUCACAGGUGUGCUGCCUGCAUGCGGCAAUAGACCUAUUUGCAGGAGGAAGAGGAAGGAAGCAGAACGCCACCAUGGGUUAAUGUGGAGAGAAGUACAUGGCCUGAUUGGCGUGGAUGGAGGAUUAAAGGCAUUUGCCAGCACCACUGGAGUUGUCCCUUGAAGAAGAAGAGGAAAAGAAGAAGAAGAAAAAGAAGAAGAAGAAGAAGAGGAAGAGGAAGAGGAAGAGGAAGAGGAAGAGGAAGAAGAAGAAGAAGAAGAAGAAGAAGAAGAAGAAGAAGAAGAAGAAGAAGAAGAAGAAGAAGAAGAAGAAGAAAGCUGGUCUUGUAGUACAAUCCUCCUCCCAUCUCAGCCUGCUCAGUCCCUGAAUUCCAGAACUGCGACCAUUCAGAAUCCUACCCAUCUCCUUCUUUUCUUUCCAGGGCACUUUUCCUCCUACAUUAUAUAUCUGGCUUUGCCCCAUGCUGAGACUGAGCCCAUGGCCUUAUGUUCCACCACUGAGCUACAUCU